GGAUUAAGCGCUUUAGCAGGACGUUUGAUAGAGCCGCUGGCUUGUAAAGUGGAGCGAGUGUAAGAGGGUCUGCGCUGGAGUACAGCUGCCUGCUCUCUGAUAAAGGCUGCUUGUUUCACACACUGACGUUGAUUUGUUGGGUAUCGUGUUAAAGGAUGUUAAUAGUCUACUACGGGCACUUGUGUUUUUAACGCUCGCCAAAAGACUGGAGUCUCUUAAAUGAAACUGGUCUCCUGAGGUUCGGCCGUAUUUCUGCUGGGGGUCUUUAUUAGAGCCCAGACGCAGUUCUGUGGCCGGACGUCUGUUUCUGUCAAUCCACCAGAGAAGUGUGACGUCACCACGACAGAGGAUCUCGGAACAGCAUAUCCAUCAGAGAUGACUGGAUCAAUAGUUGUGUUUAGGCCCGGGUCGUCUACGAGAUGGCAUGUCAUCAGUGACAGACAAAUAUCAUGGUCGGCCAACUGUACGAGAGCCUGGACUCUAUUGAUCCGCUGUGAGUUAAAGCUACACGAGAGCUAAGAGCCCGAGGAAAACACCUCCUUUUGUUUAUCAUCUCAAAAUAUAUCGGAAAACAGAGGAAUGCCACAUUAGCGGCUUUUCACUGCGUUUUUGGGCCUGUGGAAAUCCAUCAAUCCACCGCAGCUGUUCUGUUUUUAAGCUCAUAUCGGCCGCUCGUCUGCAUGGCACAACGCAAACACUAAUGUUCUGUAGGAUGAUGUUUGAAACACGACGUUUGGCUGAUGGAUUGUGUGUACAUACAAGUACUCUGGGGCUAUUUGAUUAACAGAUAAUUGCCUUUUAGAUUUAAAUGAUACUGCCAAUAUGUUUAGCGUAAGUAGGAAUGAUGGGGCUUGCUGAAAUCAUUAUCCCCAGGUGUGUUAUUAGUGGAAGGUUAAUGUCUCGUGCUCCACGUGUACAACAAUCUGUAACAGUUUUGGCCAACAUGACUAACAUGCAGCAUGUGCUCGACUGUUUGACAGUGUUUCUGUAGCUCUUGAAAACUCCUCAUUCACCUUUACUUGAAUUAAAGCCUUAAGAGAUCCUAAAUCACAGCAGAAAGUCUUACAUUCAUGAAGUCAUGGCAUUAGAUGUUGCAUGCACUGUAGAAAGUAUUUUUGUUUUGUUUUCCAAUAUAAAUCAAUACAUAUCAAUAAAUCAAGAUACAUUUACGUGAGGAGCAAAAUGAAGUCUUGUUUUAUGAGAAGCUGAACAAAAUUAAAAAUUUUAACGCGGUCCGAACUGGAUGGAGCGUCCAACAAAAGUGCAGCAGUAUAGCGGGGUUCUGCCGCGGUUGAUAAAGCGCAGGCCUCUGGGUUGCAUAAGAGGAUUGUUCGUGAGCGAUCCAGGGGCCUUCACCGCUCAAGCCUGCCAGCUGGGCCCCGUCUGCGGCUCUCAUCUGUGCGGCUGGCAGCCGUCCGGCUCUGAAGCUCGCAGACCUGCUUUCAGAGCGAGCCAAUGUCACAUUACUGCGCUGUCCAACCGCACUCAUCGAGAUGCCUGCAUCACCGCAUCCCCACACAGCGGAUCCUUGUUUCAUCUGUGAAAAUCAAAGAUGUGCCGUUUGUGAAGCUCGGACUAUAACAUGAGAUAUACUGAAAUAUAUUCUGCAUCUACUGUGUUUUCAGCUGUGUUUGCUUCAGUCUCCCAGAAUCAGUGCUUGUCAGUUAUUCAGUAUUGGUCAAUACAAUGA
ensembl:lncRNA